rnacentral:tRNA from 2 species
GGGCCUAUAGCUCAGCUGGUAGAGCAUCGGACUUUUAAUCCGCUGGUCGCGGGUUCGACCCCCGCUGGGCCCA